UUUUCACUUUUAUAUUUAGAGAUAAUGUAGAACCCUGUUAGCAUUAGGGGAUUACACUUGUACAGGUGAUCGUUAUGGAGCUCACACCUGGUUGUAACCACAGAAUCUGGCAGGUGUCCAGUCAAGAAUGAUGGCGUCUCCUGACAACGGUGUUGCCCUGAGUAAUGGAAGUCGCUAGGUAGAAUUGAUGUGUUCCAUGGAAAUGGGAGUGAAAAGGUUAUGUUUAGGUUUCCCCAUGGAAUAAUUUGCAUUUCAAACACAUCGUUGCUUGUGCGUUUUCAGGUUCUUGUCAGGAGAACACAGUGAACCUCACCGUGGUUGGUAACAGAUCCUUACUAGUAACCAGAUAUCCUCUUAAGAUCUUUCCUAGUACACAGGGAUCCCUUCCAAGGGGAACCAGUCUCUUUCAAGCUUCAAGCUUGGAGCUCUGCAAGUACCCAGGAUGUCAUGGUGAGUCUCUUCAUGGUAGUUGAUGGAGGACAUUGGUGGUGCGAGGUAAGUGAUGAUGUGGGCCUGCGUCCCCAGCACGGACCAUUAGAUUUUCACACACGUGCGUAAGUGAUUAUGUGUCCUCACACUUCCUGUUACCAUGAUUUUUUUGGCACGUGUUUAGGAAAGAAAUGAUGGUUUGCCCAACUCUAGAAAACAGGAGUUUUCACUUUUUUAUUCCAGGGAAGUCUAUGUUGAACACUGUGAGUGUUGAGGGAUUACAUAUAUGUUCCAGUCAAGACCUCACGGUGAACUUAGCAUAGGUCAUUCAUGGGGGCAGAGACUUUGCUGGUAUGCAGGUAAGGGAGGCUGUGGCCCUACCAUGGCACAAGCCAUCCGAUCUCCAAAUAGGUAAGUGAUUAUGGUGUGUCUAAGAGUUGUUAUCAUGAUUUCUUUGCAGAUAUUCAGGUUGGAAUUGAUAGUCCUUACCAAUUCUGGAAAUGUUGAGUUUUUACUUUUUGUAUUUUAGAAAAGGUAAGUUGUUUAACCCUGUGAGUGUUGGGGGAUUGCCAUAUCCAGAUAUUUAUCAUGAUGUUCCCAACCUUGGUAGUAACCAUGGGAAUUUUGCAGGUGUCCUCUAAAGAAAUAUUGUCUUACCUAACCACAAUGGCCUUGACCUUGGAGUACUGCAAGCAUUGAGGUAGAGUUGACGUUCUCCUAAUAGUGGAAGUGACCAAAGUUCUUUGCAGGUGUUCUGGUUACAGCAAGUCAUAUCCCUUUACACAUAUAUCAUCAUAUUAUUUUGUCAGGUUUCUUCAAGAUCAUGAAGCACUUAACAGUGGUCAUUAAUGGGGGACAUUUCUUAUAUCCAGGUAAGUGGUGGUGUAUAUCUUUAUCACAUCAGACCCUCUGAUCUAUGUGUGUGUGUGUGUGUGUAAGUAAUGUGUAAGAUGUUGAUUGCCUUAGCUUUUUUUACCAUGUGAUUCUUUUAAGGUGUGCUGGUGAGAAAUGAUAAUGUUUUAACCCAUUCUAACAAUCAUGUUAUCCUACUGGUAGCUAUUUUAGAGAAAAUGUCUGUUUAACCAUGUGAGUGUUGAUCAAUUUGCGGGUGUUCCUGUAAUGAUCAUGGAGCUGUCCAUCACACUAGAAACUAUGGUAUUUUUGCUGAUAACCAUUCAAGAGAUGGUGGUGUUUCUAACAGUGGUGUAGGUGGUGGAGCACUGCAAAAUCCAGGUUGCGGUCAAGAAAUCAUAGUAAGCCUCACGAUGACUGUUAACAGAACUUUGGUUGCAUCCAGGUAAGUGAUGAUAUGAGCCUAAAGCACCUUACAAUCUGAUCUUCAAAUACUUAGAUUAGUGUGGAUGGUCCUAACAUUUGCGAUAGCAUGUUUUUCUGUAUGUGUCCAGUUAAGAAAUGAUACUGUUCCAAUAGAUAUUAGUCGUGACCAUUAGCCCUUAGUACUAUAAAGUUUCUAUUCAAUGGGCAUUUAAACUUAGUAGUGAUGGAGGCAGAUACAGGUGUCUAGGUAAGUUACCCUACUGUUCCACCCCACAUCAUUGUCCAUGAGAUCCCUACAGAUACUCAAGAAGGCGAUGUCUCUCAUAAUGGUGUUAAUCUUGAAGUUCUGCCAAUAUCCAGGUAGUGAUAAUGGUUUCCAAUAAUGGCAGUAACCAAAAUUAUUUGUAUCUUUUUUUCCCCCCAGGUAAAGUAAGUUGUGUCCUUCAACACACUUGUUGUAUUUUUUAAGGUUCCAGCCAUUAUGACAUCACAGUGAAACAAAUGACGGUCCUUGACGGGACCUUGCCAGUAACCAGGUAUGUGAUAGACUGGUUUUACCAAAACAUAGAUCCAGCUGACCUUUGGAUAUUUAGGUGAGUGAGGAUGGUGUCCCUAACACAGUGUUACUAUGCUUUUUGCUGGGAUCCCAUUAAGUUCUUUGCUAGUAUAAAAAUAUGAGAUGAUGUGACAAUAAAUUAUUAGAGAUUUCUUAUCUUCAGAUAUAUAAGCAAUUAAUGUUUCCUAGGCCUUUAUAUUAAUCUUCUUGGCAUAUAAACUGUUCAGAAAUCAAUUUGUCCCUGACAAUACUAGCCUGAGCUUUUACUGUCUCCUUGUUCAGAGAUAACAUGUGCUUAUACGCCCAUACCAAUGGACCUAUGUAGUCCGUUAUCCAGGUAAUUUAUCAUAUGUUCCAGAUUUGUGAUAAUGACUGUGGUAUCUUUGCAGGUAUCUCCUCAAGAGAUGAAGGUAAAUCUAACUACAAUUUAACCUUUUGAGUUCUACAUAUUGCCCAGUAAUGUGGAAGGGGCCACAAAAUAAUGCGCUGACCAAGAGAACUUGCAGUUACCCAGGUCGAAUAAAAUGUGGGUGGAACAAGUUUUCUAUGCUGUGUUUUCAGGUUCAUGUUAAAACAUCAGUCACAGUACAGGAAGCGCACAGCAGGUAUGGAGGUAAGUGAGGAUGACCCACAGCGCAGACCAUCUGAUCCUGUAUGUAAUGUCGGUAAGGGAUGGUGUCUAAUACCUCUCGUUACUAUGAUUUCGUUGCAGGUAUCCAGGUAAGAAAUGAUAGUCCUUACCAAAUCUAGUGACCAUGACUUUACACUUUUUACAUUUUAGAAAGAACAUGUUUAACCCUGUGAGUGUUGAGAGUUGACCAUAUCUGUAAUUGUCAAGUUCCUACCCCAGUCGUGACUACAGUGUUUUUGCAGGAAUCCAGUUAAGACACGAUGGCUUUCUUCUGACCAAGGUGUUGACCUGAAUUAAUGCAAGUGUCAGGGUAGAAUCAGUGUGUUAUGUGUUCCGUAAUAAUGAAAGUGAAAAGGAUUAUUAGCAGGUGUUCUGGUAGAAGUCGUGUCCUUAAACACACUUUUCCUGUGUGUUUCUUCAGUUUCCUUUCAAGAAAACAUAGUCAGCCUAACAAUGUUUGUUAACAGAACCUUGCCCUUGACCAGGUACAUGAUAAAGUG